AGCUGUUGCACUCAGUUGAAUUGGCUUCACUAAACUGGACGCGAGAGUGAAGGAAUUUAUUGGCUAUAUUUGGACAAAAGGAUGCAACAAAGGCAAUAUGGAUGCUGAGUGAAUCAGAAUCAUCAGAAUCAUCAGCAUCGUCAAGAAAACAAACCAGAAAAUACACAGGAUUACUCAAACCGUCAUCAAGCUGCUGCCGUCCAUCAUAAAACAGAAUCCCGGGCCUCACUCACCACAACCAGAAUUCUUCCUCCUUUUCCUCUGUCUUCCUCCUCCUGCUUUCCCCUCCUCUCCUUGGAGUCUCCUCCGACACCGAGAUGACAAAUCCACCCCUGAGCGCCUGGGACGUCCACCGUCACAACACGUCAACUUGACAAACUAGCCACCCCACGCUUGUGGCCACCCAGCAAUGUACUGGAAUUACUAUGAAUGAUUUAACAGCAUAAAAAAGAGACAAUGAGAAGAAUGUAAUAUAAUCGAGAAGCCCUGCUCCAGCGGAUCAUGUACUUUUAUUUUGAAAGUUUCAUUUUAUUUUGUGUUUUUUUUUUCAUUUGUUUUUUCUAUUGUUUUUGUUCCUGUUUGCAUGUAAAGUAACAAACGUUUGAUUUGAGCGUGCGAAUGUGACGAGGUGUGUGCACGGGUGUUUAGGUGAGUGUGUGUGUGUGUGUGUCUAGCUGUGUGAGUGACAACGUCUUUGAAGUACUAUCAGUAAUUGUGUCUGUUUUUAUGCCACUGUGGAGGAAGAGGAGAUAACAGAGAUGUUUUUUGACAUAAAAAAACCCCCCAGACUUUUUUGCUUUUGUGUCGUCUAAAAAACAAUGUAAGGUGUGUUGCCCCCGUCGCCCGAACUUUACUCAGCAGCAGCAUUUUAUUACGCAGCUUUCUGGAAUGCAACCCAUCUCUGCUUUGGCAGCAGCAGCGGCUUGCAAUGUGGACACACAGAGACACAGACAAGUGUGACUAAAAGCCUCCUGUGCGUGGAAACACACCGAACACAGAUGACAGUUUGGACCCUCCGAGUUCAUGACAAGCGAAGGAGGAAAUGUCGGAAUCGUCUCUCUAUGUGGACAUGGAAGCAAUUUAAGAUGACGCACCUGUACACAGCAAAGGAUCAGAAAAGUGAGGAAAAGGUGUUUAAGAAGGGAAAACGGUUGCUUAUUUUGAUUUUUUCCAGAGCACAUCAUACAGCUACAGGUUUAACCCAAUGGACUAUAUUCUUUUUGUUCCUUUAUCUCUUUAAACUAUACUUAUGUGAAUGUUUUUGAACUCGUAAGUGACGCUUCAUAUAAUACAAAAAACACCUCCGUCCUUAAUACAGCUCUACUGCUCUUUCCGUUUUUGGCAAUGCGUUGUUCUUUUGGGUUUUCUCUAUCGAAAAAGGACCUGUUUGGAAAUAUGCAAGACAUGUUGGGAAGGAGAAGGAAACCAGAAUGUACUGUAAAAUACUUUUUUCCUUUACUUAAAUGUUGGACGAUUUCAAAAAAGAAAAAAAAAAUUAACAAAACGCAAGAGUUAAUGUUUGUCAUUGUAUGCCUUCCGAUGCCAUAUGAUCUAGCCAUGUAGAUCUAACAUUCUCUCAAUCUUCUUUUGUACUUUUUUUUUGACAUGAUCAUGUUUUUCUUUUCUUUUUGUUGCCAUUGUUUUUUUUUGUUUUAUUUUGUUUUUGUCAAGGAGCUCUAGGUACAUGUAACUUAUGUCAUUUAUUUAUGUCCUUUUAUAUCUAGUUUGUAAAAUAAUAGCCUAAAGUGAAGAAAAUAAAGGGGUGCCAAAGUGCAUUCUUAAUAAAGUAGAAACCA